CCCUUAGAUGUUCUGGGCCGCACGCGCGCUACACUGAUGCAUUCAACGAGUUUCUUCCUGGUCCGAGAGGAAUGGGUAACCUUUUGAAAGUGCAUCGUGAUAGGGAUAGACUAUUGCAAUUAUUGGUCUUCAACGAGGAAUUCCUAGUAGACGUAGUUCAUCAGACUGCAUCGAUUACGUCCCUGCCCUUUGUACACACCGCCCGUCGCUCCUACCGAUUGAAUGCUCAGGUGAGCCAUUCGGACUUUCAUCAUGCUGGUUUCCAGUUUUGAUGAAGGAAAGUCUCGCGAACCUUAUCAUCUAGAGGAAGGAGAAGUCGUAACA
rnacentral:rRNA from 1 species